CAUAGUGAAUGGAAAAAUGCAUGAAUACUACAUUCUACAUUACUACAUUCAAUGUUAUAGAAAAGAAUCUUCAUGACAGAAAUUCACAAAUACAUAUGAAAAAAGAUACAAUUUGAGACCAGAAACGUAACAUGUAACUGUAAAAGUAAAAAUCAAAUAAAAAACUAACUACAACAUGUUUGUAAGAAUGAUGUGAAUUAUGAACUAGGUUAAGUAUUUAAUAGGGCUGUCACGUGACAAAAGAACGAAGGACUCAGACUCGAAAGAUGAACUAAUCAUUUCUGUCUCUGCAUAGUGCUGUGCUAUGGGUUUGUGAGUCUGACUUGAAGAACGAACGACUCGAACCGAAGAGACGAACUAAUCAUUUCUCUUUCCGGUACUGACAGCAUAGUCUCUAUGGGACUGACAGGAAGAACGAAAGACUCGGACCCGGCCGAACCCAAACCCGAAGACUCGAGAGUCGAGACUUGAACUAAUCAUUUAUCUUUCCGGAUCCGGACCGGUAUGCUGCAUGUGCAUGCAGUCAGUGAGUGCAUUGGCUGCUGUGUCACACCACACGGCCCACACACAGACACUGACGAGUCGACAUCGACAACUAAGUAUUUUUAACGUUUUGAAGUUCGAACCCGAUGACACAAGAGGCGGAGAAAAAGGAGGGUUCCCAAACGUGAUUGGGUGCAUUGAUGGCACCCACAUUCCUAUUAAAGCUCCAUCUAUCAAUGAGGGAGACCAUGUUAAUAGGAAGUCUGUGCAUAGCAUCAAUGUGCAGGUAAUAGCUAUAUUUUGGCUCCUUAAUAUUGGUGUUACAAAUAAUAAACGUAUUGUUCUCCACAGGUAAUAUGUGACGCAACCCACCUCAUCACUAAUGUUGAGGCAAAAUGGCCUGGGUCUGUACAUGAUGCCAGAAUAUUUAGAGAGUCAUCUCUGUGCAACAAAUUUCAACAGAGUACGUUUUGUUAGACAAAUGCUUGUAGUCUUUAUUACAUUUACAAAACACCUCAAACAACACUUAUAUGGUUACUUGCUGGGGGACAGAGGAUACCCUUGCCUCCCCUAUAUGAUGACACCCUACCCUGAUCCUGAGCCCGGACUACAGACACGCUUCAACCUGUCUCACAGCAGAACACGGGCCAAGGUGGAGAUGACAAUAGGCAUUCUGAAGGCGAGGUUUCAGUGUCUGCGUGGGCUCAGGGUCACUCCAAAUAGGGCAUGUGACAUCACAGUUGCUUGUGUGGUACUUCACAACAUUGCCACAAUAAGAGGAGAGAGGCAUCCCCCCUGUCCUGAUGAAGAUGACCUAGAACAACACCCAUUGAAUCUAGCAGAUCACAGAAAUGGCAGAAUGCUUAGAGACAUGAUCUGUCAAAAUCACUUUAUUUAAUCUGUUCUAUUUCUUCAUAUCCUGAAAUAAAAGAGACAUGACAGAUUUGUAUUUAUUGCUUUAUACACACACACACAAAAAAUUCAAAUAACAGAUUCAUGUUCACAUAUGAUUCUUCUCACCUUAAGGCGAUGCUCCAGUACUAUUUCAAGUUUGGCCUUUUUAAUGGCCAGCCUUUUCUCCUCUAGCUGCUGUGAGACAGGUUGAAGCAUGUCUGUAGUCCGGGAUCAGGAUCAGGGUAUCACUGUAACCCUUUACUGUAAAUUUACAGGUAAUUUCUUACAGUAUUAUACUGUAUUUUCAUAAUACUACUUUUUACAGAACAGCUGUAAAUAUACAGCCCAAUUCUGUUUUCAUCCUGAUAAAUUCGUAAUACAGUAUCAUACUGUAAAGGCAUUGCAUUGUGGGAUUGAUUAUUUUUUUUCGCGCUCAGAUCAAACGUGACGUGAACAGACAGUACAGGCUAACUUGAUUUAAUUCCUUGUAUCAAUACAGUGUUUGUGAAUUUGUGAGCAAUCUUGCAGUCAUAUUUGCCGUGAUGCAGCAGAACAUUUUAACGCCACAUGAAGACGGGAGGAAGAAUCUGACAACUAAAUCUAACUUGCGCCGGUGACCAAAAGUGGAGUUUACAGCUUGACAAGAUUGUUCAACUGAGUGAUACGGUUUUGUAAUCUGAUGAUGGUCCAGUGCUAACACGCUUUCUUGACAUCAAUCCUGAACGUGGAUCAAAAACAAAGGAAAAGUAACUUCAAAGAAAACUGGCCAAGUUGUGCAAAAAAAGAACACCACUGUAAGCCCACAGGUUUCCUCACUUCUGCGAAAACUUGCAGACUUUGAAUGGAAUUUUGUUUAGAUCCCGUCAGCAAGUGCAUUAAAAGUAAACAAGAUUACUGCAUUAUUAAGUGCUAAGUGUUAACUUGUUGUUGUUAAAUUAACAUUUUACAUGUUUAAAAAAUAUGUAUUUAUAUAUAUAUAUAUAUAUAUAUA